GAUGAACGCUGGCGGCGUGCCUAAUACAUGCAAGUCGAGCGAACAGAUGAGGAGCUUGCUCCUCUGACGUUAGCGGCGGACGGGUGAGUAACACGUGGAUAACCUACCUAUAAGACUGGGAUAACUUCGGGAAACCGGAGCUAAUACCGGAUAAUAUAUUGAACCGCAUGGUUCAAUAGUGAAAGACGGUUUUGCUGUCACUUAUAGAUGGAUCCGCGCCGCAUUAGCUAGUUGGUAAGGUAACGGCUUACCAAGGCAACGAUGCGUAGCCGACCUGAGAGAGUGAUCGGCCACACUGGAACUGAGACACGGUCCAGACUCCUACGGGAGGCAGCAGUAGGGAAUCUUCCGCAAUGGGCGAAAGCCUGACGGAGCAACGCCGCGUGAGUGAUGAAGGUCUUCGGAUCGUAAAACUCUGUUAUUAGGGAAGAACAAAUGUGUAAGUAACUAUGCACGUCUUGACGAUACCUAAUCAGAAAGCCACGGCUAACUACGUG
rnacentral:rRNA from 1 species